rnacentral:tRNA from 1 species
AGCACGGUGGUCACCGAUAGCAUUCAUAAUGCUGGGGUCGGUGGUUCAAGUCCACCCGUAGCUACCA